GACGUAGGGCGCGAGCGUUGUCCGGAUUUAUUGGGCGUAAAGAGCUCGUAGGCGGCUUGUCGCGUCGAAUGUGAAAUCUCAGGGCUCAACUCUGACAUUGCAUUCGAUACGGGCAGGCUAGAGUUCGGUAGGGGAGACUGGAAUUCCUGGUGUAGCGGUGAAAUGCGCAGAUAUCAGGAGGAACACCGGUGGCGAAGGCGGUUCUCUGGGCCUGUACUGACGCUGAGGAACGAAAGCGUGGGGAGCGAACAGG
rnacentral:rRNA from 1 species